CCCUAAUUAUCACUUUUCACCACUGCCCCCCAAAACUCCCUCAGCACCCACGAUCGCCCGCCCCAAUCUCUCCUCCACCACCCAUGACCGCCACAAAAUCCAAUGCCCUACGUCAUCUCUCCCGUCUGGUUCCCUGUUGUGGCUUCGCUGCCUCAUCCGCCGCCGCCCGCUGCCUCCGCGAUCAGCGCACAGUCCUCGCCUCCGUCGAUCGCCGCCUCCAGCGGCGAGUUCGAAUUUCUGGUGAAACUAUUGCCGACUCCACGACGGAACUCCACUGCGAGCUGCGGAGAGGCGAUGUUGUCGAAUUGAGCUUGGCGGUUGGUGGCGGUUUCAAUUUUAGAGGAAAUUGAGAUUGCAAAAGUAGUUUGCAGGAAGCUUGAAGGUAUUUCCUAUUUAUUUCUGUUUCUGUAUGUAAUAGCAAAAUCUACCAAUGAGAAGAAAGCUUCAUGCAGAAUAGUUUGCAGAAAGCUUGAAGGAAAAUUUUAGGCUCUGAAAAUUUUAAAGAAUCAGUUGUAUUUAGCAGCUGAAUCAAGAAGAAAUGAUUAUUGCAAAGGCAUAGCAUAAAUACAAGAAUUUUAUCGUGCAUAGUAUGGAACUAGGAGCUCCGCCUCCUGGACCUCCCUCGGAUAUUUAGCAAUCUAAAAUUGCACAAUAAUUGUGUAAGCAGAUGACCUCAAGUUAGAUGUUUCUGUCCAUGACUGAAGAGUUUGAUAUGAGUGAUGUUCUCAUCGGGGGUAAACAGAGUAGUGACUAUUGCACCUAAGGAUGUUCAUCGUUUCCAGAUUCUGGGACUUCUCUUAUAGCCAGUCCAACGAUAUUUGCUAUUCUUUAGUAAUCAGACUAACUGAGAUAGCCAUGAUCAACCAUGCCAUAGAAGUAUCUGGAGUGGUAAAUCAAGAAUGCAAGUUUGUGGUUCAAAAAUAUGGCUCAUCUAUUAUGGAUAUUCUCUUGAAAGAGUUGCAACCAGAUAAUAUAUGUGGCCAACUCGGGGUGCGCAGAGCCCAUGGAGCAAGAUUUAUGCACAAGCUUUGCUCAAUGAUAAUUGGAAGUAUUGAAGAGAGAGAGAAAAGGUAGAGAUUUUAUCAAUCAAAGAAGCUCCUACUGUCCUUCCAAUCUCGAUUUACUAUUUUUGAAGCUGUAAUUUAUUUAUUGCGGGGGUAAAUAGUGUUUUAACUUAAUCAAAUAUUGUAUUGGUGAAUGUUUUCUUAAUUAUUGAUCAAUAAAUUUAUAAAUUAGAAAAUAAAAUUU